rnacentral:rRNA from 1 species
AUUGAACGCUGGCGGCAGGCCUAACACAUGCAAGUCGAGCGGAGCGGCGGACGGGUGCGUAAUGCCUAGGACUCUGCCUGGUCGUGGGGGAUAACGUCCGGUAACGGGCGCUGAUACCGCAUCCUAUCAGCUUAGCCUAGGUGGGAUUAGCUAGUUGGUGGGGUAAAGGCCUACCAAGGCGACGAUCCGUAACUGGUCUGAGAGGAUGAUCAUUCACACUGGAACUGAGACACGGUCCAGACUCCUACGGGAGGCAGCAGUGGGGAAUAUUGGACAAUGGGCGAAAGCCUGAUCCAGCCAUGCCGCGUGUGGGAAGAAGGUCUUCGGAUUGUAAAGCACUUUAAGUUGGGAGGCGUUACCAACAGAAUAAGCACCGGCUAACUUCGUGCCAGCAGCCGCGGUAAUUC